AACGAACGCUGGCGGCAUGCCUAAUACAUGCAAGUCGAACGAGAUCUUCGGAUCUAGUGGCGCACGGGUGCGUAACGCGUGGGAAUCUACCCUUGGGUUCGGAAUAACAGUUAGAAAUGACUGCUAAUACCGGAUGAUGACGUAAGUCCAAAGAUUUAUCGCCCAGGGAAGAGCCCGGCGUAGGAUUAGCUAGUUGGUGA
rnacentral:rRNA from 1 species